UAUCUACUCCCUUCGUUCGGAAUUACUCGUCCAAAAAAUUAAUGUAUCUAGAUGUAUUUUAAUUGUAGAUACAUUCAUUUUUGUGACAAGUAAUUCUGAACGGAGGGGGUACUAU
rnacentral:pre_miRNA from 1 species